rnacentral:rRNA from 1 species
CCUGGCUCAGGACGAACGCUGGCGGCGUGCCUAAUACAUGCAAGUCGAGCGGAUUGAUGGGAGCUUGCUCCCUGAUAUCAGCGGCGGACGGGUGAGUAACACGUGGGUAACCUGCCUGUAAGACUGGGAUAACUCCGGGAAACCGGGGCUAAUACCGGAUAACUCAUUUCCUCGCAUGAGGAAAUGUUGAAAGGUGGCUUUUAGCUACCACUUACAGAUGGACCCGCGGCGCAUUAGCUAGUUGGUGAGGUAACGGCUCACCAAGGCAACGAUGCGUAGCCGACCUGAGAGGGUGAUCGGCCACACUGGGACUGAGACACGGCCCAGACUCCUACGGGAGGCAGCAGUAGGGAAUCUUCCGCAAUGGACGAAAGUCUGACGGAGCAACGCCGCGUGAGUGAUGAAGGUUUUCGGAUCGUAAAGCUCUGUUGUUAGGGAAGAACAAGUACCGUUCGAAUAGGGCGGUACCUUGACGGUACCUAACCAGAAAGCCACGGCUAACUACGUGCCAGCAGCCGCGGUAAUAC